GGUCCGUUGGUGUAACGGCAGCACAUCUGGUUCUCGACCAGACAGCAGGAGUUCGACUCUCCUACGGACUA
rnacentral:tRNA from 1 species